ACUGAUAGGUAUGAGUUUUCCCACCACGUGCAGGUUGUCACCUAGUGAGGGAAGAGACUGACUGAACCCACAGUGAUCACCAUGGUUACCAUGGUUACCAUAUUCCACUGUGUCACAAUUAAAAGGCUUAACUGAGCUCCAGGCAGCAUGCAAGAUGACAGAGCUGGCGAUUAGGGGAGGGUUAGACCCACAGUGUGAGUCCUGAGAUUGAGGGAUUAGACUGAGGACAGCCCCACCCGGGCUUUUCUGUAUUGUGAACUGAGGCUGGUGCGUCUCCUGGAAUGUCACAGCCAGAAGCAUGGGCAUCCCUGGAGGUGGCUCUGGGGAGUCCCCAGGGGCAGGACAGAUGCCGGAAGAACUGUGUGCAAAGCUGGAGCUUUCCUCAAAGUUUGUCCUGCUCGGCUUUUCAAAGUCUCAGGACCGCUGUGGCCGGAGGAGUACGAGGUGCUGGAACCAAGGGAUUAGUCCAUUGCUGGGGGUAGGGGUGGGGGUCCCCGUCCCUCGGAGUUCCUUUCUCUUCUCAGGUUAAUUCCUCCAGGGGAUCCAGCUCCAGUCCUGGAACCCUCAACUCUCAGCUGACUCCAAAGAUUGAAGGGGUGGUGAUUCGCCUUCUGGGGGAGAAGGGAGUGAGACAAGAUGGAAAGGAGCAUCAGGGACAGAACAGUUCCAAAGCUGAUGUGCAAAAGCCAUCACAUGGCAGCUCAGGAUUCAUGGCCAAGGAUCAUUUGCACAGAACUGGUGCAGGUCAGACAAGCAACACCAAUGCCAGAAGCCAUAAAUUCCACGAAAGGCAAGACAUUUUGGUUCUGAGUUACUGAGUGAAGAACUUAAGUGCAGGGGGUGUGGGAACAGCCAUUGAAGAGAGGACCAUUUGCAUAGAUGGAGUCCACCAGCAUUUCCCAGAAUGCUUUUUGUUUUCUACAGUGGUGAGAACUUGUGGCAGAGAUGGGUUUCUCAGUGUAGUUCCAGAAUGAGUGGUGUUUGCCACAAGAUGCUGUCACCAAGUCAGAGAGCAAGCAAGUUAAACCACUGCCUCCCAUCCCUGAUGGUUUGUUAACAAAGUCUCAUGUCCAAAUUACAAUUCCUGGGAAGACAACCUUAUUUGGAAAUAGGGUCUGUGCAAAUAUCAGAAGAACCUCGAAAGGAAAUGAUUCAUAGGACCACUAUUUGUAUGAACCCCCAAUCCAAUGAGAUGUGUCCUUCGAAAGACAUUCAGAGGAGAUGCACAGAGGAAGAGAUGGAGGCAGAGGCUGAGAUUAGAAUGUUACAGUCACAAGCCAAGGUCACCGGAAGCCAUCAGCUGGAAGAGGCGAGAGCAGGCUGUUCUCUUGUCUCUGGAGGGAGUGUGGCACUGCCAACACCUUCCCUUAGGGGGUGGGUCUUCAGUUGAAAGUUUUUGUUGUUUUAAGUUCCCAGGUUUGUGCUCUUGUGUUUCAGGAGCCCCAGGGAGUGAGUACACCACCUGCUCAUGUUGUCUGGUUCCUGGGGUGCUUGUCCCCCCCCUUCUUCCGUGUGCGACUUUUUUCAUCACUCCUUUGAGGUGUCUGCCUGGAGGAGAGUCUCCAUCCCACUGAUGCAUUAUCCAUACAACACAUCCUUAUACCGAGAGUUUCUUAGUUUGGGAGUUGUGGGAUUGGUGCUUGGAGGGAGGAUUCUACUCUCCAGCAUGGACUCUGGGACUUCUUUUGGUUGGUCAAAUAUGAGUGAGUAGCAUCUUGAACCCUUGCAGGUCUGACAGACACUUCUGGUCUAGCAAAUCCACAAAGAAUGGUGUCUGGAAGUAUGUGUGCCCAAACACGUGGGUGUGUUCCUGAGCUGCUCCUUCACAGCCCUCGCACACACAUUGCUUUUAGGAAAGAGCCAGCAGAGCCCUGUCAUAGCCAGAAACGGUCACCCAUCCUGCCAGAAUUGCCUUACAACCAGGAAGAAUUUGGAAUUGAGAUCACUCUGAGCAUAUCCUCCUGAGAAGAGUAGUCAUUUCUAGAAGAAGAAGAAGACAGGUUCCUGCGGGCUGGAGAGAUGGCUCAGUGGUUAAGAGUACCAGCUGUUC